GACGAACGCUGGCGGCGUGCUUAACACAUGCAAGUCGAACGAAGUGGCGAACGGGUGAGUAACGCGUAAUCAACCUGCCCUUCAGGGGGGGACAACAGUUGGAAACGACUGCUAAUACCGCAUACUGAAGGAGGAGAUUGCGUCUGAUUGGCUAGUUGGAGGGGUAACGGCCCACCAAGGCGAUGAUCAGUAGCCGGUCUGAGAGGAGGAACGGCCAAAUUGGGACUGGGACACGGGCCCGACUCCUCCGGGAGGCAGCAGUAGGGAAUCUUCCGCAAUGGACGGAAGUCUGACGGAGCAACGCCGCGUGAGUGAUGACGGCCUUCGGGUUGUAAAGCUCUGUUAAGCGGGACGCGGUACCGGAAUAGAAAGCCACGGCUAACUACGUGCCAGCAGCCGCGGUAAUUC
rnacentral:rRNA from 1 species